GAUGAACGCUAGCGGCAGGCCUAAUACAUGCAAGUCGGACGGGAUUCAGGAGCUUGCUUCUGAUGCGAGUGGCGCACGGGUGCGUAACACGUAUGUAACCUACCUUUAUCAGGGGGAUAGCCUCUCGAAAGAGAGAUUAAGCCCGCAUAAAAUCACAGCACAGCAUUGUGUAAUGAUCAAAUAUUUAUAGGAUAAAGAUGGGCAUGCGGAACAUUAGCUAGAUGGCGGGGUAACGGCCCACCAUGGCGACGAUGUUUAGGGGAUCUGAGAGGAUGGCCCCCCACACUGGGACUGGGACACGGACCAGACUCCUACGGGAGGCAGCAGUAAGGAAUAUUGGUCAAUGGGCGGAAGCCUGAACCAGCCAUGCCGCGUGCAGGAAGACGGCCCUACGGGUUGUAAACUGCUUUUAUACGGGAAUAAACCCAGAUACGUGUAUCUGGCUGAAUGUACUGGAAGAAUAAGGAUCGGCUAACUCCGUG
rnacentral:rRNA from 1 species